CUGGACUCAAGUGAUCCUCAUGCCUCAGCCUCCAGAGUAGCUGGAACUACCAGCACAGGCCACCUACUCAGCCCCAAGUUUCCUCUAUAGAUGCAGCCAGACUCAUUCAUUCAAAAGCAAGCCAUCCUCAUAGUCUUUGCUCAUGCCAUUCCCUUUUUCACUUCACUUCAUUCCACCCCUCACUUCCUUAAAGACCCAGGCUCUGUGGCCCCUUUUGCGGGGGACCCCUAGCUCCAAGUCCUGCAAUCCCUCCCUUGGAGCUGAGCGUUGAAGCAUCUGGCAUUUGACUAUUCAUUUGGCACUUGGCAUACGAUUCCUUAGGUGAUUUGUAAUUUUUAAUGCAUCUACUGUUUCUCAUCAGAAAGACUGUAAACCUUUGAGAGCAGAAGUCAUGUUUAUAUCUCUUGCUACCUUAUAUUUAAUGUAAUGCCACAUACAUAGUUGGAGUGCAAUGCAUAUUCAGUGCUGGUGAUCAUGGGAUGUGUUUGAAA
rnacentral:lncRNA from 10 species